UACGUAGGGAGCGAGCGUUGUCCGGAAUUACUGGGCGUAAAGGGCGCGUAGGCGGGAACUUAAGUUAGAUGUGAAAACUCCGGGCUUAACCUGGAGACUGCAUUUAAAACUGGGUUUCUUGAGGGCAGGAGAGGAAAGUGGAAUUCCUAGUGUAGCGGUGAAAUGCGUAGAUAUUAGGAGGAACACCAGUGGCGAAGGCGGCUUACUGGACUGUAACUGACGUUGAGGCUCGAAAGCGUGGGGAGCAAACAGGG
rnacentral:rRNA from 1 species